rnacentral:rRNA from 1 species
CCUACGGGUGGCAGCAGUGAGGAAUAUUGGUCAAUGGACGAGAGUCUGAACCAGCCAAGUAGCGUGAAGGAUGACUGACCUAUGGGUUGUAAACUUCUUUUAUAUGGGAGUAAAAUGUUCCACGUGUGGGUUUUUGUAUGUACCAUAAGAAUAAGGAUCGGCUAACUCCGUACCAGCAGCCGCGGUACUACGGAGGCUACGAGCGUUAUCCGGAUUUAUUGGGUGUAAAGGGAGCGUAGGUGGAUUGUUAAGUCAGUAGUGAAAGGUUGCGGCUCAACCGUAAAAUUGCAGUUGAAACUGGCAGUCUUGAGUACAGUAGAGGUGGGCGGAAUUCGUGGUGUAGCGGUGAAAUGCGUAGAUAUCACGAAGAACUCCGAUUGCGAAGGCAGCUCACUGGACUGCAACUGACACUGAGGCUCGAAAGCGUGGGUAGCAAACAGGAUUAGAUACCCCUGUAGUC